GACGAACGCUGGCGGCGUGCUUAACACAUGCAAGUCGAACGGAAGGGCCCUGCGUUCGUGGGGUGCUCGAGUGGCGAACGCGUGAGUAACACGUGAGUAACCUGCUCUUGUCUUUGGGAGAACUUCAGGAAACUGGGGCUAAUCCCGUAUAGGAGCUCCUGCUGCAUGGUGGGGGUUGGAAAGUUUCGGCGGUUGGGGAUGGAUUCGCGGCUUAUCAGCUUGUUGGUGGGGUAGUGGAUGACCCAGGCUUUGACGGGUAGCCGGCCUGAGAGGGUGACCGGGCACCUUGGGACUGAGGUACGGACCAGUGGCGUACGGGAGGCAGCAGUGGCGAAUAUGGUCCAAUGGUCGGACGUGUGAUGCAGCAACGCCGCGUUCGGGAUGACGGCCUUCGGGUUGUAAACCGCUUUCGCCUGUGACGCAGCGUGAGUGACGGUAAUGGGUAAAUAAGCACCGGCUAACUACGUG
rnacentral:rRNA from 1 species